rnacentral:rRNA from 1 species
GACGAACGCUGGCGGCGUGCCUAAUACAUGCAAGUCGAACGCAUUUUCUUUCACCGUAGCUUGCUACACCGAAAGAAAAUGAGUGGCGAACGGGUGAGUAACACGUUGGUAACCUGCCCAUCAGCGGGGGAUAACACUUGGAAACAGGUGCUAAUACCGCAUAAUUCCAUUUACCGCAUGGUAGAUGGAUGAAAGGCGCUUUUGCGUCACUGAUGGAUGGACCCGCGGUGCAUUAGCUAGUUGGUGGGGUAACGGCCUACCAAGGCUGGGAUGCAUAGCCGACCUGAGAGGGUGAUCGGCCACACUGGGACUGAGACACGGCCCAGACUCCUACGGGAGGCAGCAGUAGGGAAUCUUCGGCAAUGGACGCAAGUCUGACCGAGCAACGCCGCGUGAGUGAAGAAGGUUUUCGGAUCGUAAAACUCUGUUGUUAGAGAAGAACAAGGAUGAGAGUGGAAAGUUCAUCCCUUGACGGUAUCUAACCAGAAAGCCACGGCUAACUACGUG